UACGGGGGGGGCAAGCGUUGUUCGGAAUUACUGGGCGUAAAGCGUGCGCAGGCGGUUUCGUAAGUCUGUCGUGAAAGCCCCGGGCUCAACCUGGGAAUUGCGAUGGAGACUGCGAGGCUAGAGUGUGUCAGAGGGGGGUAGAAUUCCACGUGUAGCAGUGAAAUGCGUAGAUAUGUGGAGGAACACCGAUGGCGAAGGCAGCCCCCUGGGAUAACACUGACGCUCAUGCACGAAAGCGUGGGGAGCAAACAGG
rnacentral:rRNA from 1 species